rnacentral:sRNA from 1 species
AGCCUAACCCCCAUGGUUUGUGGGGCAUGGCAUAAAAUACGGUUCAGGCCAUCAAGCUCUCAGUCAGAGCACCUGAACCGUCAUAUUCCGAAAGGGGUAUGGGUAGCCGAGAGGCUAUC